UACGGAGGGUGCGAGCGUUGUCCGGAAUCAUUGGGCGUAAAGGGCGCGUAGGCGGCUCAUGAAGGCUGUGGUGAAAUCCCGAGGCUCAACCUCGGAACUGCCUUCAAAACUGGCGACCUGGACUCAAGUAGAGGCAAGUGGAAUUGCGAGUGUAGAGGUGAAAUUCGUAGAUAUUCGCAGGAACACCAGUGGCGAAGGCGACUUGCUGGACUUGUAGUGACGCUGAGACGCGAAAGCGUGGGGAAGCAAACAGGG
rnacentral:rRNA from 1 species